rnacentral:tRNA from 1 species
AUUAGCUCAGUUGGUAGAGCGUUCGACUGUUAAUCGAAAUGUCGCCGGUUCGAGUCCAGCA